ACCACCAAAAUUAACUCAAAAGUAUAGAUAAUUUAGCAUUAAAUAAAUAACAAAACUAAAUCAUUUUUCCACCUUAGUACGGGAGACGGAAAAGGUAAUUUAAGCAAUAGAGAAAGUACCGCAAGGGAAAGCUGAAAGAGUAAUGAAAUAAUUCAUUUAAGCACAAAAAAGCAGAGCUUAACCCUUGUACCUUUUGCAUCAUGAUUUAGCCAGCACUACUCAAGCAAAGUGACCUUUAGUUUGAAACCCCGAAACCAAGUGAGCUACCCCGGGACAGCCUUAAAGGGCGAACCCGUCUCUGUGGCAAAAGAGUGGGAAGAGCCCCGGGUAGAGGUGAUAGACCUACCGAACUUGGUGAUAGCUGGUUGCCUGAGAAAUGAAUAGAAGUUCAGCCUCGUAUCCCUUUAGCCAACCAAGAAAUAUCUGAAUAAGCACAAAAGAGAAAUACGAGAGUUAGUUGAAGGGGGUACAGCCCCUUUAAUAAAGGACACAACCUUAAAUAGGUGGAUAAGAGUCACACUUUAUAAAACUAGUUGUUCCAGUGGGCCUAAAAGCAGCCAUCUGAGUAGAAAGCGUUAAAGCUCAAACAACAUGCAGUUUAUUAUACUGAUAAAUAACCCAACUCCCCUAAAAAUAUCAGGCCACUCCAUGCCACCAUGGAAGAGACCAUGCUAAAAUGAGUAAUAGGAGGAUAUGAUCCUCUCCUAGCACAAGUGUAAGCCAGAUCGGACAAACCACUGGAAAUUAACGAGCCCAGAAAAAGAGGGUAAUGUGGCCAACAAAAAAAUCAGGAAAAUACCACAGCAUUUAUAUCGUUAAACCCACACUGGAGUGCCUCCAAGGAAAGACUAAAAGAAAGGGAAGGAACUCGGCAAACACAAGCCUCGCCUGUUUACCAAAAACAUCGCCUCCUGCAAAUCCUUAUGUAUAGGAGGUCCAGCCUGCCCGGUGACUACAAGUUUAACGGCCGCGGUAUUUUGACCGUGCAAAGGUAGCGCAAUCACUUGUCUUUUAAAUGAAGACCUGUAUGAAUGGCUAAACGAGGGCUUAGCUGUCUCCCUUUUCAAGUCAGUGAAAUUGAUCUACCCGUGCAG
rnacentral:rRNA from 1 species